GCUCAUCUUCUGUUAGUGGCUCUGCCUUUUCCAUCUUCAUAGGGUUCAGCUGCUUCUGUUGUUGACUACAGGAACUGUUUUUGCAAUUCUCUUGGCCGUCUGCAGUAGCAUGAGAAGAAUUAGUAUCUCUCUCUUUUUGGUAAAAGGACAUAUUUACAUACACUAUAAUGUACAAAGUCUGUUGUUUUUUGAUCAGAUGGGAGGAUAAUAGUUGAUGAGCAUAACAUUUGAUAAGCUAGUUCGCUUCCCUAUUUAAGCAAUAUUAUUAAUAGCUACUUCAUGCAAUUGAGGGGAUAUAUUCAUGUAAUAAUCAAUUGCGAAAAUGCAUUUAGAUAUGAAAUGAGUAAGUAUUGGUUCAGACAAUCAGAGUAUAGUUUCCCCUAGUCUCUAGUAGUGUCCUUUUUUCUUGGGGAAUUGGGGUCCCUUUAUCUAGAAUUGCACUUGAAGAUUUUAGGCAUUCACUUGAUUACCUGUUGCUAUUAUUUGAAGUGUGGUUUUGUCUUCAUCAGGUACCAGUUCCUGUUGAUCAUCAUCAGUGACUAUUGAUAUUGUAUUCUCACCCUGAAUUACACAUGUUUGUACAGUUGCAGGAGGUUUCUGGUUAUUGCUGCUGUUUCUGUAUCUGCUUCCAAUCUUAGGACCAACCUGCAGUAAUCAAAAAUCAAAAUUGCUGUUGUUGCAUGCAGAGUCUUUAGGUAUUUUACAAGAAAAACUUACUGGCUCGAGUGUCUUUGUUCCCCUGGAUCCUUUUAUGUUUUGCCUCGAAUUCCCGUGCAUAUCUGUUCACUCCAGAUCAAUGAAACAUCAACCAUAGUUUAUUAAAAGGUUACUCCGGUUUCUGGUGUUAGAAUGGUUUGGUCUAGCUGCUAAGAACAAGUGUACAACUAUACUACUUCCUCCAUUCCUUAAAUAUCGCAUCAUCUUGUUUUUAUACUAUUCACACUACGACUUUGACCAUUUUUAGUGAUUCAUGCAUAAGUAAAAUUGUAAUCAUGUGGGUCAUGUUAGAUUCGUGUCGAUAUAUAUUUUCUAAAUAUCAUUUUUUAGUAAUUUUUGCUUAUACAUGAUUAGAGAUAGUUAGAGUCAAAGUAAUAUGUUGGUGGAGUAAAAGUCAACCAUGGUGCAAUAUUAAGGAAGAAAGAAGUAUUAUUUUCUGUUCCUUGCUUUUGUUUUUUCUUCUUGAACGUUAAACAUUUUAAUAUUCUAUACUUGCCUACUUCAUUUUUGUCCAACACUUCUUUAAUUUUGGCUUAAAACAUCAGGAAAAGAAUCAAAAUUUGGCUACUUGUUAUACAAAGUUGCCAGAGUUUCGCCAUACAGGACCGUGACAUCAUAAUUCAGGAAAGAAAGUUAAAUUUACCUGAGUUCUGAGCAGUGGCCAUCCUCUGCUUCCUAAGCCGUAAAUCAUGCAGCAGUUUCUGCGCGAAAUCUGGUUUUGUUGCCAUCUUUUUUUUUAUUUCUUGUGAAGAAUUGUUUUCUGAGAUUGGACAAAGGAGUUACCCGAUUUCUGAGUUUGGCUUAUGUAUAGAUUAUGUUAUAAUAUGGUUGAACUGGUGUUUUCAUUGUGUUGGGUAAGGUGGGAGGGGUUUGUCAGAAGGAACACAGAUGAGAAAUCUUUACUUUUUAUGGAGUGUAAAAGAAUUGAUGUUAACAUCAUCCUUUGUUUGUGUCAUUCUUGUAAAUUUGGGUAUAGUGUUCUCUGUUGUUGGUGUUGGUGUUGGUGCUGAACUUGCAUUGCAAUUCAAGCAAUGUUUCAGGUUCUGUAUGGACUUCUGUUAUAAGCUGUCAGUUAUUUAGUAGGUUGUGAUGCUCUUUUCA